rnacentral:rRNA from 1 species
ACUCCUACGGGAGGCAGCAGUGGGGAAUAUUGGACAAUGGGGAACCGUAGCAUCCAGCCAUGCCGCGUGUGUGAAGAAGGCCUUCGGGUUGUAAAGCACUUUCAGUGGGGAGGAAAGGAUUGAUGGUUAAUACCUAUCAGCUGUGACGUUACCCACAGAAGAAGCACCGGCUAACUCCGUGCCAGCAGCCGCGGUAAUACGGAGGGUGCAAGCGUUAAUCGGAAUUACUGGGCGUAAAGCGUGCGCAGGCGGUCUGUUAAGCGAGAUGUG